CGGCAACUUUUCAACCACUUCCGAUCACCGAUACCAUCGGAUUUUGAUACCUUUGAAAGCUUACAGUGUUCUCUUCAAUUCCCACAAAAAAUCUCCCUCAAACUUCAAAAGAUUCAGCCAGAAUAAACCUGCAAAGUUGGCUACCCGAAAAGGCGAAAUCUACUCAGAUUUUCAGAUUUUUUGAAGGACUUUUGCACCAAUUUUUCGACAACUUCCGACCACCAAAAUCGUUGGAUUUCAAUACCGUUGGAAAGCCCACAAUGUCCUCUUUAGUUACCAUCCAAAAUCUCCCCAAAACUUCAAAGGAUUCG
rnacentral:lncRNA from 1 species